rnacentral:rRNA from 1 species
CAUUUGACGUUAGCUGCAGAAGAAGCACCGGCUAACUCCGUGCCAGCAGCCGCGGUAAUACGGAGGGUGCGAGACGUUAAUCGGUAAUUACGUGGGACGUAAAGCGCAUGCAGGUGGUUUAGUUAAGUCAGAUGUAGAAACGGCCCGGGGCUACAACCGUACGGUAAUUGCUAUUUAGAAACGUGGACAAACUAGAGUACUGUAGAGGGGGUAGAAUUUCAGGUGUAGCGGUGAAAUGCGUAGAGAUCUGAAGGAAUACCGGUGGCGAAGGCGGCCCCCUGGACAGAUACUGACACUCAGAUGCGAAAGCGUGGGGAGCAAACAGGAUUAGAUACCCUGGUAG